rnacentral:lncRNA from 1 species
GCGAGUAGUAAUCUACAUUAUUAAUGUAAGAACGACAUAAAAGAUAAAAUUAUAUUGAAUUAUAUAAUUAGUGUCAUUACAACUAAUCCUAUCGAAUACCCACAAUAACAAAAUAAUAGAUACAUAAGUUCACAAAAAUAAUUCCGCAAUUCUUCAUCGUAUUGAAAUCUUCCAAGUGCUAUAUUUUUGGACAUUAUUUAUAUGACCUGAAAUAACAAUAAAUGUAUGUUAAGAUAUGAAAUCAAGUGAAUAAAAAUAGUAAUUCUAUAUGUAAAUAUAUUCUGAAAGGAGCUGCCAACUUCAACCAAUUAAAAUGAAUCCUAAUAACUGGGAGAACAUUAAAAAAAUUAUUUAACAAAACUCACAAUUGCUCAACCUUUCAUUCAUUAUGUCUUGAUCAAUUAAGGGAACAAACAAAUGAAAGAGAAUGGUCAAUUAACAAAGUUCACUAAUUCGCAAAAUUGUACUACUCAGGCCAAAAAAGAUGGAUCCUCUAGUUACUGCUCCAAAAACCAACCUUUUCAAUUCUCUUUUCAGUAACACACAUAGCACUAUAGAUGUAUCAUACAACUUAAUUUUAUCAUUAUAGUUAAAAAUCAUCUUAACACAAACUUAAUCAUGUAAAUCAGCUGACCGCUAGAAGUAUUAGGGGAAAGCAAGCAGAACAAUAGCCUCUUAAAAAUAACAGAGACAACUAUUUGACAACACAAAUUGAGAUGCAAAACAAACACCAACGUAUAACCAAGUUUGACACUUCACGCUGUAACAAAUCUAAUUAUUCUAGAUAAUCAAAUUAUCCAGCAUUUUCCCCAUUCAAUUUCAGAGAGUAUGGAGCCAUACCUAGAAUAGAACAAGAGUUGCAAAUUAUUUGGCUAUUAGUAUGUUGAGAAUAACAAUGGUAACCACUAUUCCUUAAACUUGGUGAUCUGAACAACUUCAACUUUCCCUAUACAUAUAUUUCCUGCAGCAAAGCCUUUACAUACAGAGAUAGUAUUCUGAUUAGCAAUCUGAUAAACAAUAACAUAAUUUGUAUUAUCAAGUGUGAUGUUUAUCACCUUUUAUCUAUUUUCGUAAAAAUUUCUUUUAAGAAUACUUAAUAAAGACAAAUAAAGGGUAUUUUUUUGGAAGCAAUAUGGCAUAGGCAAAACAUCCUUUGAUCACAUACUACAUAAAUAAAAUCUAUUCAAGCCCUUUCCACAGAGGCAAAUGAUAAAAUCCUGAUCCAAAUAGAUAGUCAAUCUUAGAUAUAAAGUUCCUAUACAUAUAGGAAGAAUCUUACAAUUAGUAUUAAAUUUGAGCAGCUUUGGCUUUUACGAUCCAUUAUAACUGCUUGAUUACCUAUCUUAUCUGCACUAUCUUUAAGAGCAAAAAGAAUACUAAAACAUCUGUUAAAGAUUUGAAAAAGGUAAGAUGUUUAAAAACAAAUAAGGGGAGAAGGGAAUUCAAUUUUCUAGAGAUGGUUGCUCUCUUAGGCAGCACGUUAAAAGUGUAUGAUGUCUAAACAUCUAACACAAGGGUGAUAGAGUAUAUUUUCAUCAUGUUCGCUUGACAGCUUCCACAAUCAAACUUUCCCAAUCACAUCAUGUCUCUAAAAUAUAAUGGUCCUUGCUAACUUGUGCAUAAUUAAAUUAGAAAGAGAAUCGAGUUAGCCAUGAAAAUUAUGUAAAAAUGAGAGAUUAUUUACUUUGUUGAGGACUUAUCUUUUCACUAAAAAGAAAAAUCUUUCUUAGCCGUGUAACUUUCAAGUUUUCCUCUUCACUUAAGAAACAUUAUAAAAGAAAAAUAUAUCACCAUAACAAAGAGAUUAAGGGAAAAAAAUAUAAUUCUCAUAUGAUAAAAAAUUCAAGCAAAUAUUAGAUAUUUGAGCGGUUACCUCUAGAAUUGCCCAUAUGAAUAUGAUGUUGUCUCAUUGAGAAAGAUCGAGAAGAGUUCAUUACUGUGCAAAAGAAAACAUGAGCCACAAAAUUAUUUAUCACUCUACAAAAUGGAAGCCAAAGGCCUUCUAAGAUGAGAAAGUUACAAGAAAAUAGCAUGAAGUGAUUAAAUAAAUUUUGUAACCGGACGCCGUUAUAUAAGAAGGUAUUGUAACUGUCAAAAAUAAACAUGCAUUGUGAAUUUCAAUUCUAUUAGAGAUCCUAACAUCACUACAUGCUUUUGGUGAUAUAGUAUUCAAGUUAUUUACCAGGUCAUAGUAACUAGAGAUGUUCCAAGAACAUUAGUCAAGGUGUUCUGAGUUGAAACAUGUCAGAUGAAAUAACCACCUGCCUCUGCUGAGCAAAAUCAUGAAAAAACUUAACAUAUGAACAAAAGUUGUAAUUUUCUGAUUUUAGUAAACUAAUACUUUUUCAUACUAGACCUUGUGACUAAUGCUUUCAAAUCUCUAUUGUUUACAAAAUCUGUAAUUAGGUUGCCUUGCAAAUUAAAAUUAGAUAUCUUAACUUACCGUAGAAUCUUACAAUGCAAGACACCCACUGUUUCAAAAGUUUCAUAUCUAAAUUAACUUUUGGUUUGAUUCCUUCUUUCUAAUUAAUGAAAAAUUUCAUUUGAAAAAACCUUCAUGACUCCAGAUUCAUCUCCUUUCUCUAAAUUUUGGACCCAUCAUGCCUCAACAAUUAGAAGACUAAAUUUUCUAGAAAAUAAAAUGUCAGACUAGCACAUUGCAAAUACACAUUCCUAUAUAAACCCAACCACGUCACCGCCUCCGUCCCCCACUACACUAAGAUUAGGUCUCAGAUGAUUAACCUAGAAACGUUUUUACAUCUCAUCAACCAUGAACUCCUCUAAACUGCAUUCCAAUUCCCUUUUUCAAGUUUUUUUUUACAUACUCCAUCAAAUCUUAUCUCAUCAAACCCAUAAUAUAAAAGUAAUAGAUUUCAAGAGAGAGAGAGAGAAGGGGGAGGGGGGUGACUGAGGGAGUGAGAGAGAUAUGAGUUGGGUUACCUUGGGUUGAUGGUCGGCGAUGAUUAGAAAAAGAUGAGAUUGGCAUCGGCGCGACUGAGAGAGAUGAAAGCCCUUUUGCUUAUUUCCUCCAUCUAAAUUUUUCCUUAAUUGAAUCUAUUCAAAUUACGGGAAAAAUAUUUAGAGGGAAUAGGUGAUUGUUGUGAAAAAUAAUGGGAGGGAAAACCGUUUAAUUGACAGUAAAAGAGCACCUUUUCCUAGAAAGUAUUGAUCUACCGCUAAUAUCUCAAUUUUAGGAAUACUAUAUCGGCAAUAAGUUUAUUGCCCCUAAAUAAUAGUCGGUAAAAGAUAUUUUUGUUGUAAUGUCAGUUUUUUCUUCUCCUGAGUUCGGAGAACUCGGAUCCCUUUUUCUCUUCUUUUCCUCACCCUGUCUCGAAGCAGGGAACUCGGAGGGGCAAUCCUCGCCACCAGAUGGGGACCUCAUUGCA